UGGCUCAGAGGAUAAAGCGUCUGCCUGCAAUGCAGGAGACCCAGGUUCAAUCCCUGG
rfam:Ovis aries breed Texel chromosome 8, whole genome shotgun sequence.